rnacentral:rRNA from 1 species
AUUAAACGCUGGCGGCAUGCCUUACACAUGCAAGUCGAACGGCAGCACGGGGGCAACCCUGGUGGCGAGUGGCGGACGGGUGAGUAACACAUCGGAACGUGCCCUGGAGUGGGGGAUAACGCAGCGAAAGCUACGCUAAUACCGCAUAUUCUGUGAGCAGGAAAGCAGGGGAUCGCAAGACCUUGCGCUUUGGGAGCGGCCGAUGUCGGAUUAGCUAGUUGGUGGGGUAAAGGCUUACCAAGGCGACGAUCCGUAGCGGGUCUGAGAGGAUGAUCCACCACACUGGGACUGAGACACGGCCCAGACUCCUACGGGAGGCAGCAGUGGGGAAUUUUGGACAAUGGGCGGAAGCCUGAUCCAGCCAUGCCGCGUGAGUGAAGAAGGCCUUCGGUUGUAAGACUCUUUCUAGUCGAGAAGAAAAGACUAGCAGUGAAUAACUGUAGUUCAUGACGGUAUCGACAGAAGAAGCACCGGCUAACU